rnacentral:rRNA from 1 species
GAUUCUAAUAUGAAUUGGUUAGAGAGAUUGUCGCUGGCUGGAAAUCUCUUGCAUGUGCACGUCUUUCACCUUUUCAAACAAACCCACACACACAUGUGCACCCGUUGUAGAUCCCCUCGACAGAGAGGGAUCUAUGUUUUUCAUCACAUCACACACAUUGUAUGUCUAGAAUGUAGUUUUAUCUGACAAGACCUUCAGGUCUGUUGAUAAUAAAAACAAUAUACAACUUUCAGCAACGGAUCUCUUGGCUCUCGCAUCGAUGAAGAACGCAGCGAAUUGCGAUAAGUAAUGUGAAUUGCAGAUUUCCAGUGAAUCAUCGAAUCUUUGAACGCACCUUGCGCUCCUUGGUAUUCCGAGGAGCAUGCCUGUUUGAGUGUCAUCAAAUUCUCAACCAUCCUCUUGAUUAAUUAAUCUUUGAGGGGUAUGGCUUGGAGGUUGGGGGUUGCUGGCAGCAUUCGUCAGCUCUCCUUAAAUGCAUUAGCGAUAUGUUGGCUAGUCUUUGUCAUUAUGACGUGCACGGCCUUUUGACGUGAUAAUGAUCGUCAUGGCUGGAGCGUCUUUCAAACUAUGCACCAUACAUACAUUAUUGCUUCUAAUCAGAAUUGAAGCAAAGGGUCGAGUCUGUGUCUGUCAAGCUUAGCUACUAGAUAGUCUUUGCUACAAAGGCUGGCGAACGCAAGCAAGAUAGGACAAGCUUUGAUCUUUCUUCAUACUUUCAGAGACUUGACCUCAAAUCAGGUAGGACUACCCGCUGAACUUAAGCAUAUCAAUAAGCGGAGGAAAAGAAACUAACAAGGAUUCCCCUAGUAACUGCGAGUGAAGCGGGAAAAGCUCAAAUUUUGAAUCUGGC